ACGAUUCUUUAUGGCAAACUUUCGUGGCUAGGUAUUUCAAGUUCCUUUCCUCAUUCGCCUCGGUCAGCGUCGCUUGCGUCGUAAAAACGGACAAGUAAUAAUUGCGCCACCCCGAAGUGUACGUGCUGUUGGACCAAACGGGGACAAUAUACUAAAGCAGAGGAGCAGAAAGGAGCCGUCGUUCCUCUCGCGAACAGAGUCUCGCGAAUAAAGUUUACCCAUUUGCAAGAAUGGAAACUUUUAUUACGCUGUUAUACGAAGACAUAUCAUUCUACGGAAAAUAGUUUUAAUGUCUUCUCUCGCACUUUCGGAAUUCCGUAGCGUUUCGCACCUCAACCCCGUAACUUACGUUGAUUUUUUUCUGAUAAUCAAAUGCAUUCAACGUAAUCAUCAAAAGUAAAUAUUCAACUAUUUCUAUAAGCGUUUAUUUAAUCAUACAAUUUUCUCCUUCCUUAUUUUCUAAGAAAGAUCAAAAUUAAUCACUCCAUAAAAUAAGAAAAAAAUUGCACAUUGUAAAAGAUGUAAAUAAUCCAUUUUUAAUAGAUUUGGAGAACUCGCGACACGAAAACGUGUAGAUGUGUAUACGCACAUUUCGAAUACUGGAGCAUUAGUUGGAGCAUUAGUGAGAGCAUUCUAAGUGUGGAGCAUAGCUGCCGAAAUAAAUGACCGGACGUCGCAGGCAGGCAUUCAUAAACUCGGCAGUGACUAGAGGAGUGCCCUGCUCUAGUGCCUUUCGGAAUUCCGAUUGAGGAGUCUGCGCGAAAGAAAAAGAGAGAAGGAAGGAGGCGGUGACGAUUCGAAGGGGAAAAUGAGGCACGGGGAAAAAGAGAGAAUAGACACGCGAGCGAGCGAAAGAGCACGAAGGCGGUGGAUGAAUCGGUCGUACAACCGUGAGGGGAGAAGCUUCUUUCACGUCAGGAUAGUGAGCGAUCGACCGAAUCGCAGGUGAGUGCCUGGACGACCGCGUAGGAUUAUUUAUAUAAACGCCGAGUCACCGGUUAUUAAUGAGAGGUACCGCCUCCCUCUGUUGGUGGCUAUCGAUGAGUUCCCUCAAACCAUCCCCAAAGCAAUGCCGGGCUUAUAUGUCGACGGGUCAGGUCACCGAAGGUGUCGAUCGAUCGAUAUUCUCCCGGAAGACGUCCUCCCGAAAUGGCGAGCGCGGUAAUAAUAGUAAUUAAAUUCUUGUUUGCGUCAAAGAUAACAUGUUUCAAACUUUCCAAAGUAUCACACAUACUUAAUAAUCUUUAUUACAAUAUUAUACAUUAUAAUAAAACGUGGAGAUAAUUUUUCGUUAUAUUUUGCCAUAAAAUUCGGCUACAAAUUUUACCAUGAUAAGCUUUAGACAACUUGGACAACCUGUCAAAAAUAUUAUGAAUAAGCAUUUUUUUAAAUAUACAAAACAUAAUAAACUACUUAAUAAAAAUUACCAUGUAAAAUAUUCUAAGACAAAUUAAUUGUAUUAUUCUAAGACAAUCAAUUCCUAAAAUAGUUAUGUUUGGUUUUUAUUUUUCUCUUUUAUUAUUUUUCUCAUAAUGUGAUAUGAAAUCAUCGUGAAGCUUAAUAUAUUUCUCUAUUAUUGAAAACAUCAAAGAUCAUAGAUCUUGAUGUGUCAAGAUCUUUUCAUAACAUAAUUUUAUUUUAAAUAAAUUGUCUAUUUCAUAAAUAUAAUUUUAUUUUUACUUUUUGUCCUUAAAUUGCUUUUAUUUUUAAAAUGUUUAAUUCUAAUUUUCUUAUUUUAUAAACUGUGUUGUUUAAUACAUAGAAAUAUAUUUAACUACAAAAUUGUCUAGUUCAUUAAUUUGUUUUACAAUUAAUUUCUCCAACAUACAUAUGCGGGAUUAUCUGAAUUCCGUCUACCAUAGUUAGUUCUAGAGUCUAACUUCCCAAACGUACAUUUUUUAUUAUGUUGCAAAAAUAUUAAUUGAUACAAAAUAUAGAACAGUCCUAUAAAAAAUGCUGUAUCUAAUAGAAGACACUUUCGUUUAUGUUUCUAAAAUUUUAUUUUUAGUUUUAAUUUAAAAAAUGUUAUCAAAAAAUAAAGUAAUAUGCCAGUUGUGGUGACUUUACUCCAUAAAAUAUGUAAAUGUCAAUAAAAAAAAUCACAUAAAAUUCUUCAGAAUACAAUGUUGUCCAUACAAUUACCAUGAUAUUCAAGACAAAAUUUUAUGAGAAAAUUCUCUUCGUAUUUAGAUAUAUGUAUUUAUGAAAUUAUUCCUAAUAAAAUACCUUGUUAUAUCAAUUUUUUUAAUGUACGUUGCGCGCGCGUAUUUCUAUACAGUCUACUUGUGCGAUGACAUCGCACGCAAAAAAACUGCACAGCUUUAGCGACUAUUAAAUAAAAACAAACUUUCUCAAAUUUUUGCUGACGCACAAUAACGGUGAAACGUACCGAAAUCAUCACGAUGAUGACAAUGCAUUUCCGCCGGCGUUUCACCAACAUUAGUCGCGUGUCAUCAGCCCUUUCCUAACUGUACCUAAUCGGUCUCACAUUUCGGAAGUUUUGUCAUAUAAAAGCCAGCGGUUGAGGUUUGAAAAUUCCUCUUGCCGCCCACGCUUCGUUUCUUUUGCUAUGCAUCCCAUUUAUUGCACGAGAUCGCCGAGAUCCGUCCCGAAAGAAACUGGCACACCUGCCAGUUGGCUUCCUCCCAGCCAUUGACGAGAUGAGAAAUAUGAAGGUCUCCAAGGAUGUAGCAGAACAGGGACACCUGGAUUUAGCGAUCGUUCUCAAUGAAAGAACCCUCGGCCGGAGGGAUGGAAACGAAAUGAAGGACCGAGUUAUUUCUGCCUUUUUUUUCAAAACCACCGAAGCAAGUAAUCUGUCUUGAGGGACUAACAGUGACUUUUAGCAAAAGCGACACUCUAUUCUUUAGAUAUUUUCCAAGGGUGACUCUCUUAUUUUCAAUGUAAUAAAUUUGACAAGUGCAAAUUUAUAUUAUAUGAAUAAUAUAAAUCGCCUUUAAAAUGUAGAUAUAUUUAAUUCGCUCAAUUUGAGUUUGAUUAAGAAAUCUUAUUCUUUCUAAUAAUUUAUGAAUUUUUACAAUAAACUUAUCUUUGCCAUAUCGGAAAGUAUAAUUGCAUAAUCAUAAUUUUCAUACACAUUUGUAUAAUCAUGAUUCCACCUAUUUCGCGAACCAACCCAACACUUUUCGGAGAUAGAUACACGACCACUAUUGGGCCGUAGAAGGGAGGUUAAAAAGGAAUCGUAGGGGUUUACAGUGGAGAUGGGGAACGCAGAACCAGGUGUCACGGGGCUGCUAUACAAAGAAGUGAUGGAUGUCUAGCAUGGCAACCCUCGUAACGUGUCAUGGCGUCGACACCUCAGGUGUCACUCUUGGUCCAUGCCUCGUUAUCUCGCCGAUAGGAAAAAAUAAAGCCGAUUCUUUUCCACCCCACAUAAAGCCGACAUAUCGCACGCGAAGAAGCGUCUUUCUAAUUUGCAUAUAUGCAAAUUAUGCGAUUAGACGCGUUUGUUCAAAGUAAAAAAAUAAAACUUAUAUAAAUAAUUGAGAAUCUAAGACUAAAACCGCAUUAUCUAAUCAAAUUUUCUUUUUCUCCUUUUAAGGUGCUACUUCACUCCCAUAAAGUUGAUAAUAUUCACUUUGUUAAUGCGGUUCCACAUCAUAGAAUUCGUAGGUAGCAUGAAAAUUGAAUGGUUGAAUUGUAUCCUCCAAAAGGAUCUGGUACUUAGGUCCCUGUUCUUAGGACCGGCGAGAGAAACACUCAAGAAUAAGAAUACUAGGUGCCGCCGAAUACACGCGCGCACGCGUGUUUCUUCGCACCUGGCAAAUCCAAAACAUCUCUCGAAGUAGGCUCUCGCUUUCGUUCUCUUACAUAGGACCUCUCAUGCCUUUGUCGAGCCACGCGCCUAAAGAAAUACAAAAAAAGAUUAAAACGGAUCUCUAAUCCUCCUACUGACACGGUGUGUAUUGAUAAAGCGACACAAUCGUAUUUAUAUCAUCGAUAAAUAAGAAUUAUAUCAAGAAUGAAUAAUCAUCAGAUUAUCAUCAAUAAAUAAUUAUUAUAAAAAUAUAAUAAAAUGUGACUGUGAUAAAUAGCCACAAAUAGAAAUAAUAAAAAUAUUAACAGACAUUUAAUAUUUUGUGUUUUUCUAACGUCGUAUUUUUUCCACAAGACAAGCGAGAUAUUAGUGCGAUAAAAUAAUGUUAAGGAAAUAAGACACCGUCGCGUAGAGGAUUACUUAUAUAUCUUAAUCUCGUGAUAUGAUACUCCAUCUCUAAGGAAGAAACGCGGUCAAGACGUUGGUGUCGACACCAACGACGCGCGCGUGAUUCGCGUAAGAAAAGAUUUUCUUCCUUCGCAUGGUCCGGUGACUUCUUUUUCGUUGGGAUAGGUCCUGUCGGGGGCACCUCAUUUCCUUUCGAGUUGUCGGUAGAGGUUCGGUUCUACAGUGCGACAAUUCUUCCUCUCCUGCACCCGACUUCUACCUACUGAGCCCGAGUCGACAAUGGAUCCGUUGGUCCACCGCGUAAAGAAAUCUAGCGCGGAGACGAGAAAUGUGAGAAACGAAGAGAGCGAAGGAAAGAGAGAAGUUUGUUAUAUUCUCUUAGGAAUAGUCACUCUAACAAUGAGAGAAAUAAGUAAUAAGAAAGUAAACCCUAAAAAAUGGAAGUUAUAACUGAUAACAAAAUCAUAAAUAUAAAUACUUCAGUUCCGAAAUUUAUUGCCAGUAUUGAAAAAUCUAUACACAACGUGGACUAUAGUUUUUUAAUACUAACAGUGCAUAUUAGAACACAGCCUUUAAUAAAUUAUGAAUAAUUUUAAAAAAUAUAUAAUUUAAUUAAUACGUCUGGCUAUAUGUGUGUCAUACAAAAACUUGAUCAUUUCUCCAAAACAUUAAGGAUCUAUCGUUUGAUUUGACCCAGAAUAUCAAGUAUAAAAUUUGACCUAAAGAGGCAGAAUAAGAAAAGCGACUGAAAGCGAAAAGGCAACAAAGGUAACGGCAGAAUUCUUUCCCAAAGUACCUCAAAAAACGCCAUUCAUACACCGCAGACCAAUAUUGCCAUUCAAAAACGACAACCCUGAAACUAGCUUGUUCCGAAUGACAUACAGAAGUGAUGAGCUAGAUUAUACUUUGCAAAGAUACAAGUCAAUAUUUUCUUGACUGUCGAGAACGUACCAUUGUAAUAUUUAUAAUAUAUAUAUAUUACAUAAAAUUCGUCACAUAGAAUGAUGGUUAUAUGUAUAAGGUAUCAUUAGGUGUUGUGCCUUAAAAAAUAGAAAACUCUCUUUCUUCUCUUUUUCCUCAUGUAUUUGCAAAUCAAGCAGAACAAAUAAAGACCUACGUAUACAAUUUGACUAUAUCGGCGUCACUGACUGAAAUAAUUGUAAUUCCAACGAAACUUGUCUGCCAUAUUAGAUUUAAACGCACGGCACGUCACAGAUCAAUUGUGCGUCGAGAUUAAAAAAGUAAAAAAGGCAUAAAUGACAGCAUCGAAUCCAAAAGGGAGAAUGAAAACGAGUUACUAGCAUAGGGAGUGAAUGAGAGUGACCUUGACAAAACAUCGCGGCCACGGAAUGAAGCCGUUGAGCCGCGAGAACAAAGAGAUUCUGUCGUCCUUUGUCAGACAAUGUCUCUAUCUCCGCCUGCUCAUCGUUCUCUUUCCCUUCAGACUUUUACUUCCUCCCCCUCCCCUUUUCUCUUUCACUUACUUUUAUCUAAGUCUGUUUGCCACUGUUCUGAUUAUUACGCCGCUUUCGUUCAACCGACUAUCACUGGUAUCGAAACACACAUCGUAUUGUGUCGCUAUUUAGGUAAUAAUCGAUAAAAGCCGGCAACGACCGGUAAGUUGGAGAAACUAAUUGUAAAUAUUUUAUAAUAAUUUUGCAUUAUUUUAAUAAUACAAAUAGUACAAUAAAUGCUAAUAAAUCCAUUUUAACGAGUUUUAAUUAAAUGGCAUAAUUAAGCGCAUUUUUAUCUAUAAAUUUUUGAAGUUAAAUAUUAAAAGGUGUUUUAGCCCUAAUGUAAAUAGUGUAAUACUUGUUAAAUCGAUUUGGCAUCGUCAAAAUAACUAACCUUUCGCCGUUAGUCUUAGGGGAGGGCGACCUUUAAAAUGGAGUUCACCACUGACCCCUUAAUAUCACUGGCUUUGCUCAUACAUUUUGAUGCAUCAUUUAAUUAAGUCAAAGUUCACGUAGGUUUAUAACGAAACAUGCCAAUAACCAAUCCGAUAAAAUGUCGAAAGCUCCGGCUGGCUAGUUUCCUCGCGACGCUUCUGCUCAGCAAUCUCACGGAAGAAGAGAAAAACGGAAAUGCUAAGGACGUGAAGACACGCCAGACCUGUCGAUAUCAGGAGGGCGACGUCCCUCCUACAACAACAUCGGAUGACAGGGAGGGAAACAAGAGAGAGGGGGUGGAGAGACGAUAGACGGGAAGAGAAAGAGAAAGAGAAAAGAGAGAGAGAGAAAGACAGAAAAAGAGAGAGAGAAAGAGAGAGAUAGGAAAGAGACGGGAGAGACAACAGAGUUGAACAAGUUGGAAAAACACUUAAGCGGGCAGCUAAUGCUUUUAUCGCGACCCUUGAUUCCACCCUAGCCUGAUUUUCGGCGACAAAUCAAGGCGCUUGUCCCGCCGGGAACGGUAAAUACGUUUUUCGACGCCCCCGCGUGAAAUAAUGCGUGCACGCACGCACGCGCGCGCGUGGCGUAGAGCGCAUAGCGCACACUUACGGGCGGCGACAAUACGCGCGAGCAAGCCUAUUUAGCGGAGGGUGAGAGACGAACCGAGUGGCGGAAGAAUGGCACUUUAUUAGUGUUUGCAAACGACGUUCCGCCGCAGCGAGAAGUUCCCCGUCUUCGGACGAUUUAUCAGACCAAGACAGCACCGUUUCGUUUCGCUAAAAUGGCGGUAUUCGGCCGUGAAAAGGUUACCAUUCACGCGUAGACUACAUCCGCCGUAAAUUUGCGACAGGUACAAACCGCACGGGAGGCGUCGUACAUUAUCACGGAUACGUAUGUCCAAAGCGCGAUAUCGCGUACUCAAUGUAUAGCUCGUGACAUUAAGAAUCUAUUCGACAGAUUGAUUAACAAAGAUUAAUUCUUUGAUAUUAGGAAACUGUAAAGAUUAUAAUACUGCACGUUUCACGGUUCUUGCUAAUUGUAUCUCGUCACUACAAUGACAUAUAAUCUAUUGUUAAGUUUACUUUAGACCACUUAUAAUUUGCGUAAAAAUUCAAAAUGGAAUUUACAAAUUUUUUGUCGUGUAUUAUAAAAAACAAAAAUUCUGAAUAUUAGAGUAAAAAUAAAGUUAAAAAAUUCUGAGUACAUAUAUAUAAAAUACAUAUAUAAAAUUGCACAUAGAAUUUUAUCUUCAAAUCUGAAUUAUAAAUAUAAAUUACAAAUUAUCUAAAAUAAACUUAAACAGUAGAUAAAUGAAUAACGUUGUUGUUUAAUGUUUGCAACUUCUAAACGGCUUGAUAGUUGAUUGGUUUUUGGUGCUUACUGCGAAUUGAUACUUUUUAUAUCGAAGAAUCGAUACCCGUGUGCGAGGCUACUGCCCGGGACGACAAUAACUUGUGAGGGCUUGCUACAGAACCUGAUGGGAAUUUGUGAAUCCGGAAAUUCGAUAUUAGCGAACAUUUAGAUCCACUAUUCAUAGAAAAUCCAUAUUGGAGCACAGAGAAUGACGGUGCCCACCGUUGCGUUCAACGUGUUAAAAAAUGAUACUGCAUCACACAAACUCGCCGAUUAGUGGAGUAUACGCUACGUUAAUCGGAUUUUCAGUAUACUGGCAAACCUCUAAACCGAUUCACUGGUGUAACUCUAACAAACCUAGAUUCGUUAAUAGUGAUUUUAAAUUAUUACGCAUUAAAGUGAUAAACAGUCUAAAAUGCAAAAGAGAAUUGUCCUGACGAGACUACACGCGACGUAAGGUAUUAUCAUCUUCCUCGAAUUAUUGGCCAUGGAAUCCGUGACGAAAUAUCGUUGGACCGACGCUUCCGUAGAGACAAAAUGCCCGAGAUUCGCGCUGUUCCGAGGUUUGCCACGUCAGUGACGAUGGCAGCACGUACCAUUCUAGGGAGUGCAUCACCCCCUCAAGUUCCAGGUUAGCGAGAGCUGUUCUAUAGACUCGAAGUAGGCGGCAGAGGAGGUAGGAGGUGGCUCGUAGGGACGAAGAGGGUAAGGGGGGAACAACGACGGCGGAAGAGCAGGAGCAGGAGGUGGAGGUGGAGGAGGAGGAGGAGAAGGACGAGGAAGAGGAGGAGAUGGAGGAUGGAGGAUGGAGGCACUCCAUCGCAGUCCGUCGCCUCGUCCAGAGGGUGGGAGUAGCCGGCGGCGGGGUGGUUUUGUCUUCCUUCGCCCAUCCUCCCUCCGCCACCCGCGCAACCACCUCCGCGUUACUCGAGUGCGCUUGCGCUCGCGGAUCACCCCGCGCAAGCCACCCUCUUCCUGCGCCGGCCCGUUUACGCUUCUAUCCCCUUCCCUCCCUCUGUAUCCCCCCGUGUGUCCUCUCGCGCGCCACCCCUCUAUUGAUUUUGUUACAAACCGGCUCCAUCCCAUCCCCUCCGGCCUCCCGACGUCACCCUCGCGCCGACCCUCGCAAAGUCCGUUGGAGCGAUACGCGCCGAUGCGUAUAUGUACGUUGAUAUAUAUAAAUAUAUAUUGUUUAUACAUAUUUCUCGUUGGCGUCGUCGUCGCUGUCGUCGUCAUCGUCGUCCUCAUCGUCGUCGUUUCUGGGCAACUCCGAAUUUCGAACACGCGACGUCAACGCGCUGCUACAAACCUCUCUUACGACCUGAGUUUAGUCAAUAAAAGUGGAAGUGUAGUGACCUGAAAAUUGCAAACGAUGGAUUUCAAAAACACUCAUGCGAAUCAUCCACGCUCAAUUGUAACGCACUCGACGCGGACGGGUGAACCCAUUAUAAGGGGGUGUUACUCCGGGCCAAUCCCCAACCAUCCGGAGAGAGAAACCAGAGAGGCGAGAGUCCAAGAAGGGCGCAUGUGCGUUGCUAGGGCCACCGGAUGGGUCGCGCGAUGCGAUGCGACGCGAUGCGACGCGAUGCGAUGCAACGCGAUGUGAUGCCGCGCGUAACGUCCGCCCGGUAUAUAUACCAGAUACUUGACAACGCAGAAAUAUCUCACAACGCAUCCAAGAAACACAAGUACGACAUUUACACUUUGUAGCUGGAUAUACGUAUAUCCAGAACAAAUGAAAUUUCUGUAGAGAUAUGCAAAUGUCCGAAAUGUAUUUAUUUCUUUAACAAAAAAUGGUUUAAUAAAUAAUUGUGUCAUGUAUUCCCUUUAUUUUUAAUUAACAAAAUCAUUAUAAGUGCAUUUUGAUCUUUCAAUAUAACUUUGAUUUUACAGUUGAUUAUUAAGAAAUAUUCAAAUAAAUGCUUUACACACACGCGCGCGC